rnacentral:SRP_RNA from 1 species
CUGUGCUAGACGGGGAGGUAGCGGUGCCCUGUACCUGCAAUCCGCUGCAGCAGGGUUGAAUCCCUGAUCGAGGCUUUGUUUUUGUAGGGUCUGCCCCGUACAAGUGGCGAUGACAGUUGGGUCUUGCGCAACGUAAGCCCGUGAACCCCGUCAGGUCCGGAAGGAAGCAGCGGUAAGCGGACACUUGCGUGUGCCGCAGGGUUGCCUGGCUGGAGUUAACUAUAUGGGUUACGCCUGGAGAAAUAAGUCGACAUCAGGUGCACAG